ACCCGCUGAAUUUAAGCAUAUAACUAAGCGGAGGAAAAGAAACUAACCAGGAUUCCCCCAGUAACGGCGAGUGAAGCGGGAAGAGCUCACGUUGUAAAUCUGACUCUCGGGUCCGAAUUGUAGUCUGGAGAGGCGUGACCAGCUGGAGGCGGGGGCGAAGUCUCUUGGAAAAGAGCAUCAAGGAGGGUGACAAUCCCGUUCUUGCCCCCACCCUCCACGCGUACGGUCCGUUUUCUACGAG
rnacentral:rRNA from 1 species